CCCUUAGAUGUUCUGGGCCGCACGCGCGCUACACUGAUGCAUUCAACGAGUCUAAAACCUGCUCUGAUAGGGGUGGGUAAUCUUUUGAAUGUGCAUCGUGAUUGGGAUAGAUGAUUGCAAUUUUUCACCUUCAACGAGGAAUGCCUAGUAAACGCAAGUCAUCAGCUUGCAUUGAUUACGUCCCUGCCCUUUGUACACACCGCCCGUCGCUCCUACCGAUUGAAUGAUCCGAUGAAUAUCAUGGAUUGAGGAUGCAAGCAGGUUCGCCUGUCUUCAUCUUCGAGAAGUGAAGUAAAUCUUAUCAUUUAGAGGAAGGAGAAGUCGUAACA
rnacentral:rRNA from 1 species